rnacentral:rRNA from 1 species
UACGUAGGCAGCGAGCGUUGUUCGGAAUUACUGGGCGUAAAGAGUGUGUAGGCGGUGCUCUAAGUUCGGUGUGAAAUCUCCUGGCUUAACUGGGAGGGUGCGCCGGAAACUGGGGUGCUCGAGCGUGGGAGAGGAAAGCGGAAUUCCUGGUGUAGCGGUGAAAUGCGUAGAUAUCAGGAGGGACACCUGUGGUGUAGACAGCUUUCUGGACCAUUGCUGACGCUGAGACACGAAAGCGUGGGGAGCGAACAGG